GAUGAACGCUGGCGGCGUGCCUAAUACAUGCAAGUCGAACGCUGGAAAUUUAGCUUGCUAGAUUGAAGGAGUGGCGAACGGGUGAGUAAUACAUAAGCAACCUACCCACGAAGACUGGGAUAAUCUCUGGAAACGGGGACUAAUACCGGAUAGGUAAUCGGAAGGCAUCUUCUGAUUAUUAAAGGUUAAAAACACUGGUGGAUGGGCUUAUGGCGCAUUAGUUAGUUGGUGAGGUAACGGCCCACCAAGACGAUGAUGCGUAGCCGGCCUGAGAGGGUGAACGGCCACAUUGGGACUGAGACACGGCCCAGACUCCUACGGGAGGCAGCAGUAGGGAAUUUUCGGCAAUGGGGGAAACCCUGACCGAGCAACGCCGCGUGAGUGAUGACGGCCUUCGGGUUGUAAAGCUCUGUUGUAAGGGAAGAACGGUAGAUAGAGAAUAUCUAAAUGACGGUACCUUACCAGAAAGCCACGGCUAACUACGUG
rnacentral:rRNA from 1 species